CAUAUGGAUUGUGUCAGCAGCCGCGCGGUAAUACGGGAGUGGCAAGCGUUAUCCGGAAUUAUUGGGCGUAAAGCGUCCGCAGGCGGCCCUUCAAGUCUGCUGUUAAAAAGUGGAGCUUAACUCCAUCAUGGCAGUGGAAACUGUUGGGCUUGAGUGUGGUAGGGGCAGAGGGAAUUCCCGGUGUGGCGGUGAAAUGCGUAGAUAUCGGGAAGAACACCAGUGGCGAAGGCGCUCUGCUGGGCCAUCACUGACGCUCAUGGACGAAAGCCAGGGGAGCGAAAGGGAUUAGAUACCCCUGUAGUCCUGGCCGUAAACGAUGAACACUAGGUGUCGGGGGAAUCGACCCCCUCGGUGUCGUAGCCAACGCGUUAAGUGUUCCGCCUGGGGAGUACGCACGCAAGUGUGAAACUCAAAGGAAUUGACGGGGGCCCGCACAAGCGGUGGAGUAUGUGGUUUAAUUCGAUGCAACGCGAAGAACCUUACCAGGGUUUGACAUCCUGCGAAUCUCUUGGAAACGAGAGAGUGCCUUCGGGAACGCAGUGACAGAUGGUGCAUGGCUGUCGUCAGCUCGUGUCGUGAGAUGUUGGGUUAAGUCCCGCAACGAGCGCAACCCACGUCUUUAGUUGCCAGCAUUUAGUUGGGCACUCUAGAGAGACUGCCGGUGAUAAACCGGAGGAAGGUGUGGAUGACGUCAAGUCAUCAUGCCCCUUACAUCCUGGGCUACACACGUACUACAAUGCUACGGACAGAGGGCUGCAAGUUCGCGAGGACAAGCAAAUCCCAUAAACCGUGGCUCAGUUCAGAUCGUAGGCUGCAACUCGCCUACGUGAAGGCGGAAUCGCUAGUAAUCGCAGGUCAGCAUACUGCGGUGAAUACGUUCCCGGGCCUUGCACACACCGCCCGUCA
rnacentral:rRNA from 1 species